rnacentral:rRNA from 1 species
GCAGCGCGGGGCAACCUGGCGGCGAGCGGCGAACGGGUGAGUAACACAUCGGAACGUACCCUGUUGUGGGGGAUAGCCCGGCGAAAGCCGGAUUAAUACCGCAUAAGACCUGAGGGUGAAAGCGGGGGACCGCAAGGCCUCGCGCGACAGGAGCGGCCGAUGGCGGAUUAGCUAGUUGGUGGGGUAAAGGCUCACCAAGGCGACGAUCCGUAGCUGGUCUGAGAGGAUGAUCAGCCACACUGGAACUGAGACACGGUCCAGACUCCUACGGGAGGCAGCAGUGGGGAAUUUUGGACAAUGGGGGCAACCCUGAUCCAGCCAUUCCGCGUGAGUGAAGAAGGCCUUCGGGUUGUAAAGCUCUUUCGGCAGGAACGAAACGGUGGGCUCUAACAUAGUCUGCUAAUGACGGUACCUGAAGAAGAAGCACCGGCUAACUACGUGCCAGCAGCCGCGGUAAUACGUAGGGUGCGAGCGUUAAUCGGAAUUACUGGGCGUAAAGCGUGCGCAGGCGGUUUCGUAAGACAGAUGUGAAAUCCCCGGGCUUAACCUGGGAACUGCGUUUGUGACUGCGAGACUGGAGUGUGG